rnacentral:rRNA from 1 species
GAUAUCCGGGAAACUGGGGGUAUACUCCAUAGUUCGUGCUGACUGGAAUGUUAUGCGAACGAAAGAUCCGUCGCUUCAGGAUGAGUCUGCGGCCGAUUAGGUAGUUGUUGGGGUAACGGCCCAACAAGCCUGUCAUCGGUACGGGUUGUGGGAGCAAGAGCCCGGAGAUGGAUUCUGAGACACGAAUCCAGGCCCUACGGGGCGCAGCAGGCGCGAAAACUUUACCAUGCGGGCAACCGUGAUAAGGAAACCCCGAGUGCCAGCACAGGCUGGCUGUCCACCAGUGUAAAUAACUGGUGAAGAAAGGGCCGGGCAAGACCGGUGCCAGCCGCCGCGGUAAUACCGGCGGCUCGAGUGGUGGCCGCUAUUACUGGGCUUAAAGGGUCCGUAGCUGGAUAUACAAGUCCCUUGAGAAAUCCGCCGGCUUAACCGGUGGGCGUUCAGGGGAAACUGUAUUUCUAGGGACCGGGAGAGGUGAGAGGUACUGCCGGGGUAGGAGUGAAAUCCUGUAAUCCCGGUGGGACCACCUAUGGCGAAGGCAUCUCACCAGAACGGGUCCGACAGUGAGGGACGAGAGCUGGGGGAGCAAACCGGAUUAGAUACCCGGGUAGUCCCAGCUGUAAACGAUGCGCGUUAGGUGUGUCAGUGACCACGUGUCACUGAGGUGCCGAAGGGAAACCGUGAAACGCGCCGCCUGGGGAGUACGGUCGCAAGGCU